GGCUCAGGAUGAACGCUAGCGGCAGGCUAACACAUGCAAGUCGAGGGGCAGUCGGGAGUAGCAAUACUUGCCGGCGACCGGCGCAAGGGUGCGUAACGCGUGAGCAACAUGCCCGUAUCAGGGGGAUGAUCCAUGGAAACGUGGUCUAAUACCCCAUAGUAAUUAUGUAAGGCAUCUUAUAUAAUUUAAAGCUUUGGUGGAUACGGAUUGGCUCGCGUGACAUUAGCUGGAUGGUAAGGUAACGGCUUACCAUGGCUACGAUGUCUAGGGGUUCUGAGAGGAAGGUCCCCCCACACUGGAACUGAGACACGGUCCAGACUCCUACGGGAGGCAGCAGUGAGGAAUAUUGGACAAUGGAUGGAAAUCUGAUCCAGCCAUGCCGCGUGCAGGAAAGACGGCCCUAUGGGUUGUAAACUGCUUUUGUAUGGGAGCAAUAAGGGCUACGUGUAGUCCGAUGAGAGUACCAUACGAAUAAGCACCGGCUAACUCCGUGCCAGCAGCAGC
rnacentral:rRNA from 1 species